GAUUGUUUGUUUUCGGAUUGUUCUUGUCGAUAGAGUUCUGGAACAGCUUUGGAGUGUGAUGAUUCGUUCGACUACGUGGUUCGUCUACUUCAUGGAUUAGUUCUUGUUCCAAGUGGGAUCUCAGGCAAGAUCAUUAUUUCCUAGAUAUCACUACUAUCAUUUCUAUGCUAGUUGUCUCGUUUCUAUUGCUAUGUCUCGGUGCCUACCACCUGUUAUGUCAAGCCUCCCAACAUUGCCAUGAAAAGCCUCUAACCCCUCCACAUUCGAGCGAACCUUUAUUUGGCUAUGUUACCGCUUUCUCACCCUUCUAUAUAGCGUUGCUAGUUGCACGUGCAAGGUGCUUCCCAUGUGACAAAUUGGUUUCUAUGAUAUAUCACAACAUUAUUGCUAUUUAAUUUAAUGCACAUAUACACUUGGUAAAAGGUGGAAGGCUUGGCCUUCUAGCUCGGUGUUUUGUUCCAUCUUCGCCACCCUAGUUACUUGUGUACCUGUGUAAUGUUCCAUAUUGAGCGCUCCUAAUAGGCUUGGGGUUGUUAUGGGCCCCCUUUGAUUAUCGUUUUAGGAUGAAACUCUUUUUGCAAGGCCCAACAUUGGUACUACAUUUGCCUAAUAACUAAUAAAAUUUCAUCGGGACUUUCCAGACCCCAUGGAUAAUUACUCAACCCCCGGGCCAGUGCUCCUCAUGAGUGUUGGUCCAAACUAGAGCAUCGUGCGGGGCCAACCCAGGGAAACUCGGGAGAUCUCUAUGAGGCCACCGUACGGUUAGCUUAUCUGACGUGUCCUGAGAACAAGUUACUUGGAUCUUAUCAGGGUCGUCGCCACGUCGCGUGGUCUUGCUAGAUUUGUUUUACAUUUAUCAAACAUCUUGUUAGCGUGAUUCUAAGGAAACUUUGGGCUAUCUCGAGGUUGAGUUUUUCGACCGGGAUUCCGAGGAGACUACGGGUUUUCCGUGGUUGAGGUUUUCCGCACAGCUUGUGGCUAGUUUGUGAUGGAUGAGUUGGAGCACCCAUAUAGGGUUAAACCUUUCUGAGAGCCGUACCCGCAGUUAUGUGGCAACUUGGAGACUUUGUUUAACACUCAGUCAUAGCAAACUUGAACUAAACUCAAUUAAAUUAUGCCAACUGUGUGUGUAACCGUAAGUAGGUUUGUCUCUUCUCAUGAGUUCCUAUGCGAGAGAGGACACGGUGGGGUUAUGUUUGACCCAUAAGUAGGUGUUCAGGAUCAUCUCUUGAUCAUUAUUAGUUCAAGUUUGUGUAUGUGUAGAUCACCCCCUCUUAUUCUUGUACUCGUAAGUUAGGCACAUAAAUAUAUGGUUAGUGCUUGAUGCAGCUUCACCAAUUAACCACACCUCACCCAUUAAGUUUGCUAGUCUUUAUACCAUUGAAAAUGAGAUUGUUGAGUCCCUGUAGCUCACAGUUUACUACAACAAUAGUUGCAGGUAUAGGUAAAGUGGAACUUUUACGUGAUCGCGAUGAUUGUUCUAUUUACAGUUUCUUCUUAUUUUUCUUCAUUGAUCAUAGGAAUGGGUUCCAGGCCAGCAGCCUGGGAUAGCAAGGAUGCACGUCAUUUUUAUUGUUUGAUUUCGUCCGUAGUCAACCCAUGCUCUUCUGAAUGGUGAUUGAAUGUAUGCU
rnacentral:lncRNA from 1 species